rnacentral:rRNA from 1 species
GUGCCAGCCGCUGCGGUAAUACGGAGGGUGCAAGCGUUAAUCGGAAUUACUGGGCGUAAAGCGCACGCAGGCGGUCUGUCAAGUCGGAUGUGAAAUCCCCGGGCUCAACCCGGGAACUGCAUUCGAAACUGGCAGGCUUGAGUCUCGUAGAGGGGGGUAGAAUUCCAGGUGUAGCGGUGAAAUGCGUAGAGAUCUGGAGGAAUACCGGUGGCGAAGGCGGCCCCCUGGACGAAGACUGACGCUCAGGUGCGAAAGCGUGGGGAGCAAACAGGAUUAGAUACCCUGGUAGUCCACGCCGUAAACGAUGUCGAUUUGGAGGUUGUGCCCUUGAGGCGUGGCUUCCGGAGCUAACGCGUUAAAUCGACCGCCUGGGGAGUACGGCCGCAAGGUUAAAACUCAAAUGAAUUGACGGGGCCCGCACAAGCGGUGGAGCAUGUGGUUUAAUUCGAUGCAACGCGAAGAACCUUACCUGGUCUUGACAUCCACAGAACUUAGCAGAGAUGCUUUGGUGCCCUUCGGGGAACUGGUGAGACAGGUGC